AGAUGAACGCUGGCGGCGUGCCUAAUACAUGCAAGUCGAACGCACAGCGAAAGGUGCUUGCACCUUUCAAGUGAGUGGCGAACGGGUGAGUAACACGUGGACAACCUGCCUCAAGGCUGGGGAUAACAUUUGGAAACAGAUGCUAAUACCGAAUAAAACUUAGUGUCGCAUGACACAAAGUUAAAAGGCGCUUCGGCGUCACCUAGAGAUGGAUCCGCGGUGCAUUAGUUAGUUGGUGGGGUAAAGGCCUACCAAGACAAUGAUGCAUAGCCGAGUUGAGAGACUGAUCGGCCACAUUGGGACUGAGACACGGCCCAAACUCCUACGGGAGGCUGCAGUAGGGAAUCUUCCACAAUGGGCGAAAGCCUGAUGGAGCAACGCCGCGUGUGUGAUGAAGGCUUUCGGGUCGUAAAGCACUGUUGUAUGGGAAGAACAGCUAGAAUAGGAAAUGAUUUUAGUUUGACGGUACCAUACCAGAAAGGGACGGCUAAAUACGUGCCAGCAGCCGCGGUAAUACGUAUGUCCCGAGCGUUAUCCGGAUUUAUUGGGCGUAAAGCGAGCGCAGACGGUUUAUUAAGUCUGAUGUGAAAGCCCGGAGCUCAACUCCGGAAUGGCAUUGGAAACUGGUUAACUUGAGUGCAGUAGAGGUAAGUGGAACUCCAUGUGUAGCGGUGGAAUGCGUAGAUAUAUGGAAGAACACCAGUGGCGAAGGCGGCUUACUGGACUGCAACUGACGUUGAGGCUCGAAAGUGUGGGUAGCAAACAGGAUUA
rnacentral:rRNA from 1 species